UGACGACCAUAGCAAGUUGGUCCCACUCCUUCCCAUCCCGAACAGGACAGUGAAACGACUUAGCGCCAAUGAUAGUGUGGAUUCCCAUGUGAAAGUAGGUCAUCGUCA
rnacentral:rRNA from 1 species